AGGGAAUUUUCCACAAUGGGCGAAAGCCUGAUGGAGCAACGCCGCGUGAGGGAUGAAGGUCUUCGGAUUGUAAACCUCUUUGGAGUGGGAAGAACGAUUCCGGUGUUAACAGCGCCGGGAAGUGACGGUACCACUAGAACAAGACACGGCUAACUCUGUGCCAGCAGCCGCGGUAAUACAGAGGUCUCAAGCGUUGUUCGGAUUCAUUGGGCGUAAAGGGUGCGUAGGUGGCGCGGUAAGUCGGGUGUGAAAUUUCGGAGCUUAACUCCGAAACUGCAUUCGAUACUGCCGUGCUUGAGGACUGGAGAGGAGACUGGAAUUUACGGUGUAGCAGUGAAAUGCGUAGAUAUCGUAAGGAAGACCAGUGGCGAAGGCGGGUCUCUGGACAGUUCCUGACACUGAGGCACGAAGGCCAGGGGAGCAAAC
rnacentral:rRNA from 1 species